rnacentral:rRNA from 1 species
GGCGUGCCUAAUACAUGCAAGUCGAGCGGACAGAUGGGAGCUUGCUCCCUGAUGUUAGCGGCGGACGGGUGAGUAACACGUGGGUAACCUGCCUGUAAGACUGGGAUAACUCCGGGAAACCGGGGCUAAUACCGGAUGGUUGUCUGAACCGCAUGGUUCAGACAUAAAAGGUGGCUUCGGCUACCACUUACAGAUGGACCCGCGGCGCAUUAGCUAGUUGGUGAGGUAACGGCUCACCAAGGCGACGAUGCGUAGCCGACCUGAGAGGGUGAUCGGCCACACUGGGACUGAGACACGGCCCAGACUCCUACGGGAGGCAGCAGUAGGGAAUCUUCCGCAAUGGACGAAAGUCUGACGGAGCAACGCCGCGUGAGUGAUGAAGGUUUUCGGAUCGUAAAGCUCUGUUGUUAGGGAAGAACAAGUGCCGUUCAAAUAGGGCGGCACCUUGACGGUACCUAACCAGAAAGCCACGGCUAACUACGUGCCAGCAGCCGCGGUAAUACGUAGGUGGCAAGCGUUGUCCGGAAUUAUUGGGCGUAAAGGGCUCGCAGGCGGUUUCUUAAGUCUGAUGUGAAAGCCCCCGGCUCAACCGGGGAGGGUCAUUGGAAACUGGGGAACUUGAGUGCAGAAGAGGAGAGUGGAAUUCCACGUGUAGCGGUGAAAUGCGUAGAGAUGUGGAGGAACACCAGUGGCGAANG